UCCCUGGUGGCUCAGAUGGUAAGCGUCUGCCUGCAGUGCAGGAGACCUGGGUUUGAUCCCCAGGUCGGGAA
rnacentral:tRNA from 1 species